AGGGAUCAGUGAAUUUUAACUCUGGAGUCCUCUAUGCUAAGGAUGCUCAGCUUACAGAUGAUGAAAUGUUCAGUAAUGUAUUUGCUGGAGCUGUGCUUACCCAAGGUUUGGGUAAAACAAGCUUUGGGUUCCUUCUGUCUCACUGGGAGUUGCCCAAUUCAGUUGCAUCUGGUGAAAUUCACCCUGAGACCUUAUAGAACCAGCUCCAACUACGUGAGAGCCAUUUGCAGUUCUCUCCAGACGCCUGGAGAAUGGGCGACGUUUCUGAGGAUCCGGCGAGCGUGCUUCUGUCAAAACUCAGUCUGUGAAAUUUCUGGGGAAAACCCUUCUGUGUCCUGAAGGGUUCAAACUCUGGUGAGGAUCCAGUUAUCAGGUGCUCACCUGGAUGGUUCCAGCUGCCAAAGGUAACACUUGUACUCUUGCCCUGUAGUUUACAUCUAUUGUAUUUUUGUUAUUUUGCAGGAUUUUUUGUCUUUGCAAAAUAUUGUGCAUUUCACUCUUUGGAACCUCUCAGAUGGUUCUUUGGUGCAGCACCACCCCAGGGGACACUUGGCUGCUGUCCUGAAGGGGUUGGUCGCUAGAAUUGUAAAUCCUGGAGAGUUUGUAAGUCUUCUGUCCCCAGGGAGGUAUCAUGCUUUGUUUACUUUUGUUCUGUUGGUUAGGCGCUGCCUCUCGUUGCAAGUAUGAAUUUCAAACUGCCCUGUUCUUAUUUUAACUUUUUUCCUGGUUCUCUCCGUCCGGCAGGGAAAGACUCUCGUAUCCUUGUCGUCGGGCUCGGUGCUGUCCAAGAAGAUACAGAGACUAAAAAAAUCAUAAGAAGCAAAAUAUGACUGCAGGGAAAAGAAGCUGGAGAGAACAGAAGGGGCUGUUUCCAAAGUGACCUACAGACAUUGGAAUGAAAUCAUUAUUUACUGUGUAAAAGAAUCACUCUCCAAAGCAUCAGCCAAGGUCUAAAUGUGCCAUUCUGCCUUUUAAAAGUACCAACAUCACAGGAUUUUUCUCAGAUUAAAGCUUCCAUGGAGUCGGAUCUCUCAAGCCUGGCCCUUGAGAAUUGUGGGCCUCCUGUGAACUGGUCUUGCCAGAAGGGCUUGCUGAGUUUUCCAUUGUGUGGAAAAGAGAUCCCAUUUGCAGCCUGAAGCCUCAUGUUUCCUGUAGGAUUUCUACUCCUAGAAUUGCACACUUUGAAGGAUUUCUUAUAGCAGAAGUUUUUUGGGAACUAGGACUCUGGUUGGAUUUGGGUCUCUGGACUCUCAGGUGAAGUGACCUUGAGACACUAGGGCAUGCAGAUUUCCUUGCUGUUGAAAAGAGCUAUUGUUCGCACCCAGGAGCCAUGGUCUGAAUGGGGGUGUCACCUCUUAAAUUUGCAAAUGUCACAGGAUUUCUUCUAAAUGAAUGGUGCUAAGAACAUAAGGUCUGGCUGGCUUUCGACUUAGAGGCGCCUCCUCUAAAUUGGUCUUCAGACGCUAGGUUGGAAAGUGUUCCUACAUAUGCCAAAUAGCCCUUGCUAUGCAAUUAAUAAGCUUCAAAUUACCAUGGAGUUGCUGCCCCUGCAAAGAUUUUGGCAGAGCCUGGUUGUGGUGCCCCACUCCACUCCACCACCCUUAGCAGGUCCUUAUGGUUGCAUGGGGAAUCAUCGUGGAGCAUGCCAACCCAGCUCCAUCCUGGGAACAGCACCUGUAUUUUACCCUAAAAUUUCUGUCCCAUUAUAGCUCCUGUUAGGAUACAAAUGUAACUUCUCGGUUUCCACUGAUUUUACCCCCAGUCAUCUUUCCAUACAGACAUUGCUCCACUCCCCAGAGGAUUAUUGUGAGCAGAUGUGAGUUCUGCUGUCCCUUUGGACUGACAAAGACAGAGGUUUUGUCCCAAGUUGCUUUUGAACCUGUCCUGCACCUGUUACGAGUCCUCAGUCUCCUGCAAUUUUGUGGGUCAGUCACAUGUAAAACAGCACAGCUGGCUGGCAUGCUUUGCUCAUGAGGGGAGACAAGAGAAGAAUUCCUCUGCUCACAC